AGUCGAGCGAGCCUUCGGGCUAGCGGCGGACGGGUGAGUAACACGUGGGAAUAUGCCCUGUACUAAGGAAUAGCCACUGGAAACGGUGAGUAAUACCUUAUACGCCCUUCGGGGGAAAGAAUUUCGGUAUAGGAUUAGCCCGCGUCUGAUUAGAUAGUUGGUGGGGUAACGGCCUACCAAGUCGACGAUCAGUAGCUGGUUUGAGAGGUUGAUCAGCCACACUGGGACUGAGACACGGCCCAGACUCCUACGGGAGGCAGCAGUGAGGAAUAUUGGACAAUGGGCGCAAGCCUGAUCCAGCCAUGCCGCGUGAUUGAUGAAGGCCUUAGGGUUGUAAAGAUCUUUCAAUAGUGAAGAUAAUGACGGUAACUAUAGAAGAAGCUCCGGCUAACUCCGUGCCAGCAGCCGCGGUAAUACGGAGGGAGCUAGCGUUGUUCGGAAUUACUGGGCGUAAAGCGUACGUAGCGGACUAUUAAGUCAGA
rnacentral:rRNA from 1 species